rnacentral:rRNA from 1 species
GACGAACGCUGGCGGCGUGCCUAAUACAUGCAAGUAGAACGCUGAAGGAGGAGCUUGCUCUUCUGGAUGAGUUGCGAACGGGUGAGUAACGCGUAGGUAACCUGCCUGGUAGCGGGGGAUAACUAUUGGAAACGAUAGCUAAUACCGCAUAAGAGUAGAUGUUGCAUGACAUUUACUUAAAAGGUGCAAUUGCAUCACUACCAGAUGGACCUGCGUUGUAUUAGCUAGUUGGUGGGGUAACGGCUUACCAAGGCGACGAUACAUAGCCGACCUGAGAGGGUGAUCGGCCACACUGGGACUGAGACACGGCCCAGACUCCUACGGGAGGCAGCAGUAGGGAAUCUUCGGCAAUGGACGGAAGUCUGACCGAGCAACGCCGCGUGAGUGAAGAAGGUUGUCGGAUCGUAAAGCUCUGUUGUAAGAGAAGAACGAGUGUGAGAGUGGAAAGUUCACACUGUGACGGUAUCUUACCAGAAAGGGACGGCUAACUACGUG